GGUUCUUGUUAAGGGUGGGGGAGAUCUUAUCACUUUCCUCCUUGGGUUGCUGGGUGAACUGACUGAGAGGAGGCAAGUGACAGGCUUAUCACAGCGCCAGGCACAUAUAAGUGCUCAUUAAAUACUAGUCGGAGCUGUUACAAUUUCUCAAUUUACCUCAGGUGUUUUGAAAGUACACUGUGGAUGCUGUGGUGAAUGACACAAUUGGAGAGAAACCCGUACAAGAGGAAGUCCUGUCAGAAGAUGACUGUGGUCCUCCUGAUGAAUGAUAGUUGUGGUUUGGAAAUGAAAGGUGACAGCAGAGAGGGGAAGGAGUGGAUCAAUUCCAGUCAUACAUAAGAAGCUAAUGUGAAGAGAAUGAGCGAAGGAGGUGAUAAUCAACAAUGCAGUCCCUCAAUUAGCCAACUGACAUGCUGGAGAUGUACAAUGGAGAGCUCUCUGUGGCAAAAAACCGACAGCUCUGCCCAACAGCUAGUGAGGACCAGAGACCUACCAUCACCAAGUGAGGGAGUUUAGAACAAGCCUUCAGAUGACUGCAGCCCUGGCAGACAUUUUGACUGAAACCUUGUGAGAAGCCAUGACCCAGAAGUACCCACUAAGUAGUUUCUGAAUUCCUGGCCCACAGAAAUGGUGAGAUUGGGUUCAUGAAAUGCUCCAAUAAUGAAAUCUUUGAAAAUUCUGCUCUGCCACUGACUGCCGGAAUCUGGAAUGUGCCCCUUGGAUCACCGCUGUCACUGGCUGCCCACCAGUUCCCAUGACUUCAUGGAACACAUGACUGGACCAAUUCUCAGAAGGGAGACAGCUGCAGAAAAUCAACGGUGGUAUUACAGACGGCAACUCACUGUGAAACACGAAGGGACAUUAGCUGUCCAAUCAUUUGUGCGUCCAAAACCCAGCCAAGGCAUCACGCCUUCCAGAUGAAGGGAUCGUCGGCAUCCAGGAGGCUGCUGACGGCAAAUUACCUUGGGUCUGGGAGCAUCAAGCCCAUCAUGCGCUGUUCCCUG
rnacentral:lncRNA from 1 species